AUGGGCAACUAAAAUAGAAGGAUGAUUGAUGCAACCAACCGGAUUUCGCGGACACAAUUUCUCGCAAAGAAUUUCACCGUUAUGCAGAAAUCAAGCCUUAAGCGCUUUCGCGCAGCAGUAGGUUGUCAAUCUCUGGUUAUUGAGGAGAAUAAAUAUAAUUUUCGGCAUUAUAUUUUUAAAUAAUUUCGAAUAUGUAGCGUUGUCAGGC
rnacentral:lncRNA from 1 species